AGUAGUUUUCCAAAUUGGAUCAAAUCAAGGAAACCAGUUCUUGUCAUGCAAUCCUGAAAUUGGCAUUAAAUUUCGAGAAUACUUUGGAAGCAGCAAUCGAAAAUAUCACCGAAAUGAUGUCCAAGACCUUUUUAACAAAAAAUACAGUGAAGCCGUUGGUAAAAACUGCAGAGUUCCUUACUCUAAAGGAGGAUUCAGCG